rnacentral:rRNA from 1 species
AAAAUAACAAGCCCCCCUUAAUAACCCUUAAUUACACUAAGCACCAUUAAACAAAACAUUUUUCCCCCUUAGUACGGGCGACGGAAAAGGAACUGUAGAGCAACAGAGAAAGUACCGCAAGGGAACGCUGAAAAAGAAAUGAAACAACUCAGUAAAGCACAAGAAAGCAGAGAUUUAAGCUCGUACCUUUUGCAUCAUGAUUUAGCUAGUAAAUAUCAAGCAGAGAGAACUUUAGUUUGAUUCCCCGAAACUAGUGUGAGCUACUUCAAGACAGCCUAUUAUAGGGCACACCCGUCUCUGUGGCAAAAGAGUGGGAAGAUCUUUGAGUAGAGGUGACAGACCUACCGAACCUAGUUAUAGCUGGUUGCCUGAGAAUUGGAUAGGAGUUCAGCCUCCCGGCUUCUCUCUUCACCCCUAGUCUAAACCCCAUCUGACACCGAAAGAAACCGAGAGAGUUAGUCAAAGGGGGUACAGCCCCUUUGAUAUAAGAUACAACUUUUUCAGGAGGAUAAAGAUCAUAACUAAAUUAAAGGUUAUAUGUUCCAGUGGGCCUAAAAGCAGCCAUCCGAAUAGAAAGCGUCUAAGCUCAGACAUACAAUAACCCCUUCAGAUCCCGAUAACCAAAUCUUAAUCCCCUAAGCCUACCAGGCCAUUCCAUGCGAACAUGGAAGUGAUCAUGCUAAUAUGAGUAAUAAGAGAGCACGGCCUCUCUCCCCGCACACUUGUAAAUCGGAACGGACACCCCGCCGAACCUUAACGGCCCCAAGAAAAGAGGGAAAUGGUUAGUAAAUUAAGCAACAAGAAAAUCAUCCAAUAAUAAUACCGUUAACCCUACACUGGUGUGCACCCAAGAAAGACCAAAGAAAGAGAGAACUCGGCAACACAUAAGUCUCGCUGUUUACCAAAUUUGGUAAACAGGCGAGACUUUAUGUGUUUGCCGAGUUCCUUCUCUUUCUUUUGGUCUUUCCUUGGGUGCACACCAGUGUAGGGUUAACGGUAUUAUUAUUGGAUGAUUUUCUUGUUGCUUAAUUUACUAACCAUUUCCCUCUUUUCUUGGGGCCGUUAAGGUUCGGCGGGGUGUCCGUUCCGAUUUACAAGUGUGCGGGGAGAGAGGCCGUGCUCUCUUAUUACUCAUAUUAGCAUGAUCACUUCCAUGUUCGCAUGGAAUGGCCUGGUAGGCUUAGGGGAUUAAGAUUUGGUUAUCGGGAUCUGAAGGGGUUAUUGUAUGUCUGAGCUUAGACGCUUUCUAUUCGGAUGGCUGCUUUUAGGCCCACUGGAACAUAUAACCUUUAAUUUAGUUAUGAUCUUUAUCCUCCUGAAAAAGUUGUAUCUUAUAUCAAAGGGGCUGUACCCCCUUUGACUAACUCUCUCGGUUUCUUUCGGUGUCAACAUCGCCUCUUGCAAAACUAAUGAAUAAGAGGUCCCGCCUGCCCUGUGACUAUAUGUUUAACGGCCGCGGUAUUUUGACCGUGCGAAGGUAGCGCAAUCACUUGUCUUUUAAAUGGAGACCUGUAUGAAUGGUAGAACGAGGGCUUAACUGUCUCCUCUUUCAAGUCAAUGAAAUUGAUCUCCCCGUGCAGAAGCGGGGCUAAACUCAUAAGACGAGAAGACCCUAUGGAGCUUUAGACACCAAGGCAGAUCAUGUUAAAGACCCCGAAACAAAGGGCUAAACUGAUUGAACCCUGCCCUAAUGUCUUUGGUUGGGGCGACCACGGGGAAACACAAAACCCCCGCGUGGAAUGAGAGUACUAUCUCUUACAAGCAAGAGCCCCCGCUCUAGCAAACGGAACUUCCGACCAAUAAGAUCCGGCUUAACGCCGAUCAACGGACCGAGUUACCCUAGGGAUAACAGCGCAAUCCCCUUUUAGAGUCCAUAUCGACAAGGGGGUUUACGACCUCGAUGUUGGAUCAGGACAUCCUAAUGGUGCAGCCGCUAUUAAGGGUUCGUUUGUUCAACGAUUAAAGUCCUACGUGAUCUGAGUUCAGACCGGAGUAAUCCAGGUCAGUUUCUAUCUAUGAUUUGAUCUUUUCUAGUACGAAAGGACCGAAAGGAAGGGGCCCAUACUCCAAGUACGCCCCACCCUCACCUAAUGAAACCAAAUCAAGUAGGCAACAGGGCAUGCUUUUUGUGCUCAAGAGAAUAGCAU